AAAGAUUGAAAAGCGCCAGGACUAAACUGCGAGCGAAGUUAGUUUAGUUGACGAGGUGGAGGUUCAUCGAUUAUUCGGCGGAUGCCUCCCGGCUUAAAGCAGAGCCGUCAAUUUCUUUCUCAAAUCACCGAGGCAACUCUGUGGACAAAAGAAAGGAAAUGCAAAAUC
rnacentral:ncRNA from 2 species